rnacentral:rRNA from 1 species
AGGACGAACGCUGGCGGCGUGCUUAACACAUGCAAGUCGAACGGAAAGGCCCUUUCGGGGGUACUCGAGUGGCGAACGGGUGAGUAACACGUGGGUGAUCUGCCCUGCACUUCGGGAUAAGCUUGGGAAACUGAGUCUAAUACCGGAUAUGACCAUGGGAUGCAUGUCUUGUGGUGGAAAGCUUUUGCGGUGUGGGAUGGGCCCGCGGCCUAUCAGCUUGUUGGUGGGGUGAUGGCCUACCAAGGCGACGACGGGUAGCCGGCCUGAGAGGGUGUCCGGCCACACUGGGACUGAGAUACGGCCCAGACUCCUACGGGAGGCAGCAGUGGGGAAUAUUGCACAAUGGGCGCAAGCCUGAUGCAGCGACGCCGCGUGGGAGAUGACGGCCUUCGGGUUGUAAACCUCUUUCAGUAGGGACGAAGCGCAAGUGACGGUACCUACAGAAGAAGCACCGGCCAACUACGUGCCAGCAGCCGCGGU